rnacentral:rRNA from 1 species
UACAGAGGUCCCAAGCGUUGUUCGGAUUCACUGGGCGUAAAGGGUGCGUAGGCGGUCUGGUAAGUCUGACGUGAAAUCUCCGAGCCCAACUCGGAAACUGCGUCGGAUACUAUUCGGCUAGAGGAAUGGAGGGGAGACUGGAAUUCUCGGUGUAGCAGUGAAAUGCGUAGAUAUCGAGAGGAACACCAGUGGCGAAGGCGAGUCUCUGGACAUUUCCUGACGCUGAGGCACGAAAGCCAGGGGAGCAAACGGG